ACCUGGACCUUUUCGCAUGCUGCUUGUGCUGUUCUGCUAACAACAACAUACUUGUUUUCUUGACAGCAGAAGCUCCAACAUCAACAUCUCAUCCUCCGAUGUCAUUUGAAGUUGAUGGAUCUGGUUUGAACUCAGGAACAUUGAUCGCACCCACCAGUUGUCGCUGUCACCACCAGAGCACACCACGGAAUGCUGCUUGCACUUGGAGCAGUCACCUGUGUAGCAGGAUACAGUUGCAUCUAACACUGCAGGUGGUCCUGAGGUCGGUUGUCUUCCCUACAUGGAUGGAUGUUGGGAUCUAGCUGACCUCUCCUGUAGUCAGACUUCCAAGCGGACCUGGACCUUUUCGCAUGCUGCUUGUGCUGUUCUGCUAACAACAACAUACUUGUUUUCUUGACAGCAGAAGCUCCAACAUCAACAUCUCAUCCUCCGAUGUCAUUUGAAGUUGAUGGAUCUGGUUUGAACUCAGGAACAUUGAUCGCACCCACCAGUUGUCGCUGUCACCACCAGAGCACACCACGGAAUGCUGCUUGCACUUGGAGCAGUCACCUGUGUAGCAGGAUACAGUUGCAUCUAACACUGCAGGUGGUCCUGAGGUCGGUUGUCUUCCCUACAUGGAUGGAUGUUGGGAUCUAGCUGACCUCUCCUGUAGUCAGACUUCCAAGCGGACCUGGACCUUUUCGCAUGCUGCUUGUGCUGUUCUGCUAACAACAACAUACUUGUUUUCUUGACAGCAGAAGCUCCAACAUCAACAUCUCAUCCUCCGAUGUCAUUUGAAGUUGAUGGAUCUGGUUUGAACUCAGGAACAUUGAUCGCACCCACCAGUUGUCGCUGUCACCACCAGAGCACACCACGGAAUGCUGCUUGCACUUGGAGCAGUCACCUGUGUAGCAGGAUACAGUUGCAUCUAACACUGCAGGUGGUCCUGAGGUCGGUUGUCUUCCCUACAUGGAUGGAUGUUGGGAUCUAGCUGACCUCUCCUGUAGUCAGACUUCCAAGCGGACCUGGACCU